UAAAAACGAGCUUUGCAUCCAAAACUCUGUGUCAAGCCACAUAUUUUAACCCCACCAGGAGAGAGAGGGAAGGAAGGGGAGUUUGGUCUGCAAGCUGCCAGCUUAGCCCACUUCUCCAUCACUUUUUUUUUUUUUUUUCCAGAGCUCCAUUUCUUCAAUCAGCCUUUAUUAAGAGCAUAGGUUUGAGUGUAUAGGAACAAAUUCUUCUGGCUCUUUAAGGAACAUAUUGGAAGGGGGGUUUUAUUAGGCUGCAUUGCUGGAUAAGUGAUACAACAUGCUUUCCAGCAUGAAUCAUCUGAGUGGAGUGACAAAAAAGAAGCCUGAAAACUAAGCACAGCCAAAAUAUUGGCAGGCCUCAGCCACUCGGGCCAGAUUUCAGAUUUCGUCUCCUUUAGACCAAAAAAAAAGUAUAUAUAUAUUAAAUUAAAUUUUAAUCUCCUGGUGACAAUUCCCACGGAGGAGGGCUGAAGUAUUUUGUCUACAUCCCUCCUGCCCCCUUGGAGUCCCAGACUCCCCGCGAUCAGAGAUGGAGGAGCCCCCCAAGGGUCACCUCGGCCGGCCCCGCGUUUGCUCCCGUGCCCAGGCAGCGCCCCUGCCGCGAGCUCGCUGAGCGGAGGACCGGCUCGGCUUUAUUAGCAACACAUGCGGGGCCCACCGCGCACCCUGACAGCCGGCAGCUCCGCGCCAGAAUGGAUGGCUCGGAGGCUGCGAGGCCGCGGUUACAAAGGCGCCGCGCCGUUCUCAGGUGGACAAACGCGGGCCCGGGCGGCGGGCUCCGGUUCCCAGGCGCGGGGGCGGCGGCCCCUUCAAGUCGGGCGCGGGCGGGAGCGGAACCCGUGUUAAUUACUAUUCUGAACCUUGCUGCGCUUCAAUUUCCUCAUCUCAGAGACAGCCACGUCUACACUAUGGGGCAGUGGUGAGGACUGAAUGAAGACUGAUUUGCAGCACUAGCACUGUGCCUGGGGGAUAGCACGUGCUCAAGGAGUCUGGCUCAUUGUGACCAUCACUUACUCUGAGGAAAGCCAUGUCAGCAGCUGCCUUCUGGAGAAUCCACCUGGCGAGGAACUCCAGCCUCCUGCCAACAGCCACGUGAGUGAGCUUGGAAGCACGUCCUGCAGCCCCGGUCCAAGAACUGAGUGCAGCCCCGGCCAAUAGCUUGACUGCAGUCCGACAAGAGACCUUGAGCCAAGCCACUCUGCAUUCUUGACCCUCAGAAACUGUAUGAGAUAUUAAUGCGGUUUUAAGCUGCUAAGUUUUGGGGUAAUUUGUUACACAGCAGUUGAUAACUAUUGAACACAAGACAUGUGAACAGACUGCCUACAGAUAUAGAAAUGUAUUCUGGAAACACUGAGGCUUCCUGCCCACAUGUAUGUAUACACACAGUAUACUUCCUUAUACCCCAGAUGCUUCCUUAUUGAUCUAAUACUGAAAAAAGAAUGAAGUAUGACAUUUUAUGUUCGUUACUGCUCUUUCGAUAGGUGGAAUGUAAAAAGGUGAGAUGCGUUGCUUGUAUUAACACAAUUGGAGACACUGGCACUGCCGUCAUGCCCAGGCUGUCCAGCAGACGUCACUUUAUUCCGUGGUGCAUUCCCAGAACAUUGCAUGGGUGAAUAACGACUUUUUGUAAAUUGAAUCAGGCUUAAAGUUCCCUAGUGUUGCUGGCUAAAGGAAGCCUCGAGUGAGCUCUUUUGUACCCGAAUAAAUUUGGUAAAAUAAAGAGACAGUUCCUAAUUUGUCCAGAUUAGGAUUUAAUAUAUUUUGCUUCCUUUAGAUAGGGCACAACUGCUUUAUUCCUAUUGCCAUUAUUAUUAGUAGUGGUAUAAUUUAAUGAACAAAAUUCGUAGGCCUCAAUCAGAUCUCCAUAAAU
ensembl:lncRNA